rnacentral:lncRNA from 1 species
GGGACUACAGGCGCCCGCCAUCACGCCCGGCUAAGUUUUUUGUAUUUUUAGUAGAGACGGGGUUUCACCGCGUUAGCCAGGAUGGUCUCGAUCUCCUGACCUCGUGAUCCGCCCGCCUCGGCCUCUCAAAGUGCUGGGAUUACAGGCAUGAACCACCGCGCCCGGCUUGAAGAAAGAAGUCAUUAAAGAAGCAACCCAUGGCAAAACUAGUUAUUUUCUUAAAACAGUAGGAAGAAGAAAAGCUUUUUG